rnacentral:lncRNA from 1 species
GAGAGACAGACCACUGAAGGGCCCUGGGAGAGAACACAGCCCAGGGCAGGGGUCGGGGUGACAGGGACCCUGAGCACAGUGUGACUCAGGGGGGAAGAGCUGCCUGACCGUGUGACCCUGGGGGCCCUCCAAAGGGAUGCGCUCAGGGGUUACCAGGGGGCUGGAGGCGACCUCCUCAAGGUGUCCUGGCAUCUCUGAGACUCUCUGUCCUCGCUGUAGCUCUGUAAUGUCACGAAAAGCCGAAGGUGCAGAUACGAAAUGGCACCAACACUGAGUUUCUCCCAGAGGCAUUCAGGUAUUUAAAAAAUCCCACGGAACACAGCUUGCGGAAGGCAGAGAGUGAGGCUGAAGCACGAUGACCUAGAUCUGGAGGCGGCCCGCCAGACAGCGGAGGGAAGCUCCUGCCCCUCCCCCACGGCCACCUCUCUGCCAGCGAGGGCCGGGGCUUGGGGUUGCAAAGGCUGGCUCCACCUCUCCACUGCAUCCCAGCUCCCCGGCUGGCCAUGCGAGCAUCAGGCCAGAGAGAUCGGAAAACCCUCCCAGAAUCAACAGGACGCAGCGAGGGCUCUGGUGCCCACUGCCCAGCUGCGCAGGCCAAGGCCCUCCGUGGCCCUGGUACCUGCCCUGCUGGUGGCACCCUGCCUGGUGCAUGCUGGCCUUGGGGCCCGGGCACCAGCCGGGGAGGGCAGAGUGGGUUGGUGGCACAGGUGCACUGGCUGUCAUGCCCAGGUGAGAAGGCGGCGACCAGAGCCCUCAGAGCACACAUCCGUCAUCUGGUUUCCUGGGUCUCUGGCGACUGGUCAUACUUGGGUGAGGGCAAGGACUCAGGGUCUCAGUUCACUCCCCUUCAUCAUCUCCUUCCCACCCCUCUUUCUGGCUGCAGGUCGUCGGGGGUUCCUCUGCCUGCAGAGAAGAGCCAUCUGCAGAGCUCUGCCUGCCCGGCACAGGGCAGAGGUCUGGGGCCAGGAUCACGGUGGAUGCUUAGGAGUGUGUAGCCUUCGGACAACGGCGUUUUUCACUCAGCGAAUUCUUGGGAGCUUCAUCCAGGUGGUGUGUGCCAGCAGUUCCUUUCUUCUUACUGCUGAGUAGGAUUCCCUGGAGUGGAUGGCCCGGGUUCACUGACCCAUUCACCCAUUGAAGGACUCUGAGUCGUUUCCAGUCUCCAGCUAUUACAAAUACAGCUGCUGUUAACAUUCACGUCCAGGUCUUUGUGUGGACGUAAGUCUUCAUUCAUCUGGAAUAAAAGAACUUGAAAUCAGCAAUUCAAAGAGACUUCUGCACCCCUAUGUUCAUUGCAGCACUAUUCACAAUAGCCAAGACGUGGAAGCAUCCCAAGGGCCUAUCGACUGAUGAUUGGAUAAAGAAGAUGUGGUAUAUAUACACAAUGGAA